ACAUGCUAAAAAGCGUUUGUUAUUCUUUGUACUAUGGCGCCAUCUCUUGGACGAGUUGGCUCACUGUAGGUACUGCAGGUUGAAAAUGUACUGCCUGUUUCGCUCCUUGGACCGGAAGUAUUCAUCCAUAGCGUUCUGCUCAAAGGGAUUCUUCAUUCAUCUUUCCAAGCAACUGUUUUUCUUAAAUUCACCAAAGGUCACCGUGGGUUUAUUGAGUCUGUCUAGCUGAUUGGAGAGCGAGCUUCGGCUGCUAUCGGGUCCAUGACGAUGACUUCUGUUUUGUUUGAUCCGCCGUUUUACUGCCGUGUGACAUGCACCGUUUGGAAACAAUUAAGCUGUAGGAAUCGUUGAAACACGCCCGGCGACCCCAAAAGGGAUAAGCAGUGGGAAAUGGAUGGAUGGAUGGGUUUCUUCACACUACUUCGAGAGGU